GACGAACGCUGGCGGCGUGCUUAACACAUGCAAGUCGAACGGAAAGGCCCUGCUUUUGUGGGGUGCUCGAGUGGCGAACGGGUGAGUAACACGUGAGUAACCUGCCCUUGACUUUGGGAUAACUUCAGGAAACUGGGGCUAAUACCGGAUAGGAGCUGCUGCUGCAUGGUGGGGGUUGGAAAGUUUCGGCGGUGGGGGAUGGACUCGCGGCUUAUCAGCUUGUUGGUGGGGUAGUGGCUUACCAAGGCUUUGACGGGUAGCCGGCCUGAGAGGUUGACCAGCCACAUUGGGCCUGAGAUACGGACCAGACUCCAACGGGAGGCAGCAGUGGGGAAUAUUGCACAAUGGGCGGAAGCCUGAUGCAGCAACGCCGCGUGCGGGAUGACGGCCUUCGGGUUGUAAACCGCUUUCGCCUGUGACGAAGCGUGAGUGACGGUAAUGGGUAAAGAAGCACCGGCUAACUACGUG
rnacentral:rRNA from 1 species